rnacentral:misc_RNA from 1 species
GACUAACUUCUUGACCUUGAACUUUAAGUUCAGAAUACCUCUUCCUUUUUCUCUUCUUGGAAUUUGAUGCUAGAUCAUCUGGGGCACCAUUUCCUUCAACAAGAAUGCCUUCGCAAAUCUCUGCGGUAGUAUCCAGGUCCCCAUGAAAAAUCAUGGCUUGGUCUUCAAUCUUAUUCUGCUGUAGAACUUCAACUUCUGUGCUUUGUGAUUUUCCUUUGGCAGGACCUGAAUUUUGGCCUCCAAUUGGAGCAUCAAUUUGGCUUUUUGUCAUUAACUUGUCACCAGCAUUGUCUAGGUCAUCAGUUGAUCCCCAGAGUUGUUCCAUAGGCAAUAGACUAUGUCCAAGGGAAUGAUAAAAUGCUGACAAAAAAUUCUCCGCAACAGUUAACUCGAGCAUGCCAAGCUUGGAGACAGCCUGUGCAAGAUUUUUAAUUUGCGCAAGAAACUUCGAUGGUUCAAAGAGGCUACUUGAAAAUUCCCCAAAUCUGCUCCCAAACUCGUCCACCGCCUUCUCUACCGCUCCAAGGAAGCUUCUGGCCUUGUUUUGCCCAGCCAUCUGUUCAAAGUUCUCAUGAAAAGGCUUUAAUUGAGAUGGCAAGCACCAAGCAAUGUAGCUAAUCCCCAGAUAACCAACCAGCAGGCAGUUCCUCUGUUCAUUCUCCACAGCAUAUUCUCUUGCAUCUAAUGGAUCAUAAAUCUUCCCAGGCCACCAAGACUUAUUUUUGGUUUUAAUCCAUACGAUAUCACCUACAUGGAACUUGCCA